UGAGAAUUCGUCCAACAAAAAGGUCCUCUCUCUCACACGUAGACGUGAAACGACUUAGUUUCUGAGCUCUUGCAGCAGGGGUAGCUGUGUGCAGCGAGAAACUCUUGAAAAGGUUUUUUGGUCCCAUCCACCCUCCCCCUCGGCGAGCAGACAGCAACUGGUCACACUGCACGGCGCUGGGAAGGGCUAAUUAACGUGCAGCCAGCUCGGACACACCUACCACAGAGGCUUUUACCAUCAUCAUCAUCAGCAGCAGCACCGCGGAGAUUUUGGCUCCGAGGAAGCCUGUGCUAGCGGCUAUCGGCUUAAAGACUUUCGGAGCUUUAGUGAUCAUGGAUAGUGACCGUGCCAGCUCGUCACCUCGAGGAUGGGAGGUCUUCGAAAGCUAUUGAUGGAAGAGAAGGAGGUUGGUCGUCUGGACAGUCCAGAAUCAUCCAAUUUGGUGAUUAAGAGAUUGUUAGUUUUCCAAAUGACAUGCAAAUCAAAGUAGACUUGUACGGUGACCAGUGGACUAUGUCACAACAACUUUGAAACAAUAUUCAGAUCACUGGAAAUGACUGCCUGUUCAUAUUACAUGCUGGUUCAACAGCUUGGAAGACUUAGAUGAUUAUUCUGCAGUCCUGUACAAAAAUAAUACCCAGUGCUGUCUCAUAUUCAGUUAUGAAAGAGGAAGAAUUUUUCUGAAGGAGACAGGAAGCCUUGGUGUAAGAUGCUGGAGGGUCUGACAACCAGAAGGAGAAAUCAAAGUGACAAGCUUCAAGCAACCACAUGCCUGUUAUAGGAUGGGUUCAACAGCACCUGCCUGGAAUUGCGACAUGUCUUGAAAUUCAUUCCACUUGUUAUAAUUUAGCAAUAUGAAACAGCAUCAGAAUAUGCCAGUACAAUACAAGGGAUUCCCUUAAAAGUAUACACUUCUGUGUUUCAAGGACAGUCAAGUUGCAUCACUAAUUUCUUUUCCUGAUUGUCAGUUGCAAAAUAACAAUUUCUAAUUAUAGAUACCUUUUCUAAAUAUGUAUUCAGCUGGUACAAUUAAAAAGGAUUUGAUCCCCAUAGUGUGACAUAGAUUAUUCAGUAAUUAUAAAUACUUCAACAGAGACAAUGUUAAUGGUAUUUAAAGUUUUGCAGAUUUCUAAAAACUUUGGAAUAAUCUAGUCCAAAACAUGUAAAUGCCAGAGCCAGUCUAAUAGCAUUACAAAUUCAUCUUUUUUGUCCAUUUCUGAAAGAGCUUUAAUUAGAAUCAGAUAUAUACAGACACACAAACUACAUUUGCAGGAGAAGGCCAGCUGUAGACAAAGAUUUUUAAAUUCUGUGCCAGAUAAGCACAUUGGGUUAGGUAAUCCAUACUAAUGAUAUUCUCAGUGGAUCUGAAUUAAAUAAAGUGUCAAACUACCUUCUUAAUUUAAUUUGAAUUUAAUCCAAAUUAAACAACUUUGAGUUAUCCAACACCAUUUAAUUCAGGUCAGGUUAAAUUUAAGAAGUCUCAAAUCUUGAAGCUUAAUAAUGAAUUAAUUGGAUUUCCCCUGUGCACUGUGUGAAUAUUCAUUAAGCAAACCAUACGUAAUGCAAAUUGUGUGCAAUUAGUGCUUUAAUUUUGAUAUAUAAAUGUAAAGUUCUGCUUUUCAUGAUUUUCAUUUCAUUUUAUUCAGGAUUUGCAGCAAAGGGAACACUAUAUGGACAGUUGCUUGGUAGUCCAGAUGUUUGAAUAUUUUUAAAAAUAUCAUGUUGCUGAAACUUUUUAAUCUUGCCCUCAUAGGACAAAUGCAGAAAUGUCAAAUUUCACCCAAACACAACCGCUUAUAGCAUAGAAUUAUCUUAAAUCUUAAAUAUGGUUCCACAGUUGUGUGGCACUUGAUAUAUAAUCCUAAAUGGUCCAACAGCUACCUUAACCAGUAGAGCUUAUAACAUGGCUCAUUUACAGUUGCUAGAUGUGUCAAACAUCCAAAUGCAGAGAUUGAGUCUCUGCAAACAAAGGGAUAUGAUCAAGGCUUCUGCAAAUUUUCUAACUGAUUGCUACUGCUUUCUCCAUGGCAAUGUGUUGGCCAAUCAGAGUGGACUUGUCAACCAACCAGCAUCCUGUCGUAUCAAUUGUUAUGAUUGUUUUAAAUUUGGUUUUCUUACAAUUUGCCUGAUGAGUGCAGGAUGAAAAUAUUUGGGAACAUGUCUCUCUUUUCAGCAUUAUUGUGAACCACAGACUUUGCACUUUUGCAUUCAAAAAAUUACUUUUCAACAUUUCGUUGAACAUACUUUUCUGAAUAAUGCACUUAUCUUUAAUUUUCUACCAUUUCUCUGAUAAAUGUGAUGAAUGAACAAUUAUGGACAGUGCUCUGAUGCUGGUGGAUUGCUUUAUAAACUAUCUUUAGCAGUGCUACCGUUUAACAUCUUUCACAAGUGUCUAUACACAUUUAGGAUUUGACCCUGAGAUUAUGCAUCUACCAAAUUUGAAAGCAUGAUUCCACCCAGUUCAUUAACUAAAGCUGCUCCCCCACCCAUUAUCUUUUCAGUACAGAGGUUAAGAUUGAAUUUCAGUCUUAUCUUCUCUCAUCUCUGUUCUUGAGAUCAAAAUUAAACUAGAAAGUCUCCUACUCAUUAUUUCUCUACCAAGAUGUCACAACUGUCGAACAGUUCAACCAGCUUAAGACUGUGGUUUAUGACCCAUUGUUUUAGUUGAGGAAUUUAUUUGAACCUGGCAGUUUAUGCAGGAAUAGAAGUAAUUGAGGAAACUUUUAAUUCAGUCCUGAGCCAGAACUCCCAAAUCAAGACUGUCUGAAAAUUAUUGGUUAAUUCCAACUGAUCACUGUGUGCUGGGGAUAGGAAAAGACAGAAAGGAAUAAAUUCACCGGUACCACAUACAUGACAAGUUACUCUCUUGACUGAGUGUUAGCUGCUUCAGGCAGGCUGUUUACACACAUGGGGAACAUUUAGGCAUUUCACAGUUGUACCACCAAAUGUUUUGGGAGUGAACUUGUUUGCUGUUCGAAUUCUUAAACUGGCCAUCGUGACAUACUCAGAACAAACUGAAUGACACCCAAUUUCAGUGUUUUGGUGCAUACCAAUGUAUCUUAUUUCCACUUCCUAUGCAAUAGAGAAGUUCAUGCAGAAGAUAAAGUGAAAUUCAGACUCAUAAGACUUCCUCUCAAGAAAGAUUUGCAUGUGGGCCACUGCCUUGAGGGGUUAUAUAAGGGGUAACAAUGUGAUAAUUCAGUGCAACACAGAAAGCUUCUUUGACAAUUUGUUCUGAAAUAACAGUAGCAUGUGAACAUAGGAAUGGAAAUACUUGUUUUUAUAUUAAGGGCAUCAUAUACCGGACACAUUCAGUGAAUGGGUACACUUAAACAAUUUGAAAUUAAGGUUCAGCUGAAUAUAUAUAUAGUGCUAUCACAUUAGGUUAUGAUGGGAAUGUGUUCCUGUAAUCCCUUAUUACAAACAGUCAGCUGUGGCCCAGCUGGCAGAAUUCUCACUUGUAAGUCAAAAGGCUUAGUCUCACUUGAGAGGACUGGUCACAAAAUCUAGACUGAUGCUCCAAUGCAGUGCUGAGGGAGUGCUAUACAGCCAGAGGUGCCAUAUUUGGGAAAACAUGUCACAUUCAGGUCCUGUGCGUUCUGUAAGGUCGAUGCAGAAGCCAUGUCACCAGUUGAAGAUGAAGAGAUGAGUUGAUAUCUUGGCUGAUAUUUAUCCUUCAAAAAUAGUGCUAAAAGCGACAAACUUGUCAAUCAUCCAUUUUUGUUUGUGGGAUCUUGUUCUGUGCAAAUCAGCAACCACAUUUAGAUUACAACCGUGAGUACACUUCCAAAACAGGGCUGGCCUGGCUAUGUAGGCAAACUAGGCAGUCAUCUGGGGUGGCAGGCUUUGAGGGGGAGGUGCCAAAUUCAGCAUUUCAAAUGUUGAGUAAAUAUACAUUCUCACUUUUCUCUAUAUUGAAGCAUUUGAGUGAGGGGGGGAUUUAAAAGUCAUACUUCACCUGAAGCACCAAAAAUCUGGAGAUGGGCUCGAUUCCAAAGUACUUUACAUCCCAAGAAUGCGAGAAGUACUACUGUACAUGCAAGAAAGCCUUUUCUUCUUAUAUCAUAACACACCAGGAGAGUUAUUUCAAUAAAAUUCUACUUAAUUUCUCAAUUAUUGGGGAAAUUGAACAUGCUUAUUUUCCCAGGAGGAGUUAUAGCAAGAUAGAGAUAAAGUGUUAAUAUGACAACCUAUUUCCUGUUGAACAAACUCCUGUUUGGAUCUGGCUUUGGAACGGAUAACUAAAAUAUCAAAAUGUGUAUUUGUGUAUUAAUUCUUCAUUGUCAUUGAACUGUUUGCUUUGUUGCAUACGUAGAUAUCAGGAUGUUGCACAGUUAUGGACAGAGUCUGCAGCUGGGGAGUGCGUGAUUUCCAAUGUGCACACAGUUACUUGCACCAGGAGAGCUGAAACAGAACUACACCCUUUCAACAAGCCAACAUUUGUGGUUUUCUCUUUUAUAUGCGUCCCAAAAGCAAUAAUUAAUUUUUAUGCUCAGUCACUAAUAGUGCUCAGUGAUUGGGGACUUGGAAACCCGACCAACAAUUCUGUCAUUCAGUUUUCUCUUGUUCUCUUGCAGAAACACUAACAGACAGAAAUUGAACCUGACUGCAUUCAUAUGACUGGCUUCAAACAGAUGCAGUGAUGGUCAAGUUUAGCGUUAACUAUCAUGCACUCUCACAAUGCUUUAAAAAUGCAUACAAUCUGAAAUCAGGCGAGAUAUUCUCUAGAUGGCUGGAAUGAUCAUCUCAAAGAGCCUCCAAGCUUUCAUAUCUGAUAAUGAAGGGUCUAAUGCCUGUUGAGCACACUUCAGGGAAGAAGAAGCAUUCCCAGGUAUUCUAAAUACAGCUACAGCUUAGUUACAAAAACUGUAUGUUUUAUUUUAAUUGAUGUGUAAACUAUCCACAUAUUUUCAGUCAACCCCCAGAAUGUUGAUAGUGCUUGAUGCCACACUUGUUUGAAUGCAGCCUUGAUGUCAAGGACUGCUACUCUCACCUCACCUCUGGAAUUAAGCUCUUUUGUCCACGUUUGAACUAAGACUGUAAUGAGGUCAGGAACUGAAUGGCCCUAAUGGAACCCCAACUGGGUGACACUUAACAGGAUAUUGUUGAGCUGGUACUGUUGAUGACACCUUCCAUGACUUUACUGAUGAUCAAGAGUAGACUGAUAGGUUGGAAAUUAGCUGGAUUUGAUUUGUCCUGCUUUUUAUGUACAGAUCAUACCUGGGCAAUCUUUCACACUGCUGGAUACAAACCAGUGUUGUAACUGUGGUGGAACAGCUUGGCUAGGGGACCGGCAAAUUCUGGAGCACAGGUUUUCAGUACUGUUGCUGGAAUGGUGUCAGGUCCCAUAGCCUUUGCAGAAUCCGGUAUCUCUAACCGUUUCUUGGUAUCACAUGGAGUGAAUCAAAUUGAGAAGCCUCCUCCUCCAGUGAGUUGUUUAAUCAUCCACCGCCAUUCAUGACUGGAUGUGACAGGUCUGCAGAACUUAGAUGUGAUCUGUUGGUUGUGUGGUUGCUUAGCCCUGACCGCUGCCUAUGUGAUUUGGCACGCAAGUAAUCCGUUUGGUAGCUUCGCCGGGAUGACACCUCAUCUUCAGGUAGGCCUGGUGCUGUUCCUGGCAUGCCCUUCUGCACUCUUCAUUGAACCAGGAUUGAUCUCCUGGUUUGAUGAUAAUGUGCGAAUGGGGGAUAUGCUGGGCCAUGAGGUUACAGAUUGUGCUGGAGAACAAUUCUGCUGCUGUUGAUGUCCCACAGCACCUCAUGAAUGUCCAGUCUUGAGUUUUCAGUUCUAUUUGAAGUCUAUCCUAUUUAGCACGGUGAUAAUGCGAUACAACACUUUGGAGGUUAUUCUCAAUGUGAACGUGGGAUCUUGUCUCCACAAGGAUUGUGCAGUGGUCAUUCUUACCGAUACUAUCAGACAGAAACAUCAUGAUUUGGCAGAUUGACAAGGACAAGGUCAAGUAUGAUUUACCUUCUUGUUGGUUCCCUCACCAUCUGCUGCAGACUCAAUCUGGCAGCUAUAUCCUUUAGGACUCAAACAGCUCGAUCUGGGGUACAGCUGCUGAGCCACUCUUGGUGGUAGACAUUGAAAUCGCCCACCCAGAGUACAUUUUUGGUCCUUGCCAUCAUCAGUGCUUCCUCCAAGUGUUGUUCAAAAUGGAGGAGUACUGAUUUAUCAGCUAAGGAAGGACGGUAUUUGGUAAUCAGCAGGAGGUCUCUUUACCCAUGUUUAACCUGAAGCCAGGACACUUCAUGGGGUCCAGAGUCAUUGUGGCAGACUCCCAGGGCAACUCCUUCCUGACAGUACACCACUGUGCUGCCACCUCUGCUGGGUCUGUCCUGCUGGUGGGACAGGACAUUCCAGGGACGAUGAUGGUGGUGUCUGGGACAUUAUCUGUAAGGUACGAUUCCAUGUAUAUGCCUAUGUUAGGCUGUUACUUGACUAGUCUGUGAGACAGCUCUGCCAAUUUUGGCAUGAGCUUACAGAUGUUGGUAAGAAGGAUGAUGCAGGUACAAACAGGGCUGAUUCUGCUGUUGUCUUUUCUGGUGCCAAGGUUGUUGGCAGGUGCUGUGUCUGGUUUCAUUUCUUUGUUGAUACUUUGUAGCGGUUAUUACACCUGAAUUGCUUGCUAGGCCAUUUCAGUGGGACAUUGAGAUUUAACCAUGUUGUUGUGGGUCUAGAAUCACAUGUAGGCCAGACCAGGUAUGGAUGGCAGAUAUUCUUCCCUGAAGGACAUAAGUGAAACAGCUGGGCUUUUCCAACAAUCAGCAAUCGACUUAUGUGCAUAAGUUGUUAAUGGUACUGGGACAGAGGGACAGCACUUACAUUAACCUAGGUGUUAUUGAUGUGGCAGAGAGUACAAAAGCAGAUACGUAAAAGGCACUGAUUAGGCCUCAGUUGGAGCAUUGUGUACAAUUCUAGGACAUGCUACUUUAAGAAGGAUGUGAAUACAUUGGAGAAAGUGCAGUCGAGACUUAUGAGCCUGAUAAGAAUGGCAAUGUGAAUCAUAGAAUCAGUAAUGUGAAACAUAGAAACCCUACAGUGUGGAAGAAGGCCACUUAGCUCAUCGAAUCCAGACCGACCAUCCAAACAUCAUCCCAUUUGGACCCACUCCCCUAAACUAUCACUGUAACUCUGCGUUUUCCAUGGCCAAUGAAUCUAACCUACACAUCUCUUUGGACUGUGGGAGGAAACCAGAACACAUUGGAGGAAACCAGCAAAGACAUGCGGAGAAUGUGCUCAGGUGACUGAGAAACUCAGUCACCUGAGGCUGGAAUCGAACUUGGAUACCUGGCACUGUGAGGCAGCAAUGCUAACCACAGAGCACUGUGCCCUCCCACCCCCAAACAGAUUAAAGAAGUUGGGACUUGUUUUCCUUCAAGAUAAGCAGGUUAAGAAGAGAUUUAAAUAAAGGUUUUAGAAUCAUGAAAGCUCUGGACUUAUUUGUCAGAAAGAAACUGCUCUCAAAGAUGAAGAACUGGAGGACACAGAUUUAAGUGAUUUUUGGAAGAAGUGAAUGCAAGCAGUUCGGGUUUGGAACAUACAGUCUGUGAAUAUUGUGGAGGCAGUUUCAAAAGGUCAUUGAAUUAUGAUUUAAAUAGAAACAAUUUGCAGGAUUAUGGGGAAAAUGUGAGUGAAUAGUCCUCAAUUAUGAAGCUAAUUCAGAGUGCCAUUGCAGACACAAUGGGAUGAAGGUCAUCAUUUGCAUUGUAUAAAAUCUGUAUCACCAGUGAGAAAUAUCUUUGUGUUUUUCUGUUCAAAAUAGCGUGAAAGGAUCUCUUCUGCAUUCAGUUGAGUUUGAAUGUCUCAAUGGAAAUCAUCUCUGACAGUGUAGCACUCACACAGUACUGCAGAGAAGUGUCAUCCUAUCCAAGAGAGUCCAACAUUCAAAAGUGAUUUUUUUAAUAAUCAAAGACAUAUCAAAAACAGCAGAGACUGUUUAAUGCAAGUGAUCAUCACCAAUCUAAACUGUAUCCUGUAUAUUGUCUUCACAGCUGUGGAGCGACAGUUCAAAACUCUCUGUGAACUCAGAAAGUGACCUUUGAAACAGUAGCCAAGUUAUCUCACUAAUGAAUAAACACUCUCCUCCCCACCUGUUGUAAAGAUCUAGGCAGCCCUCAGUGGAAGAGCAAGAGCUGAAAGUUAAAGUCUUCUAACUUUUUUUCAAGUGAGGCUGUCUAGAGAGUGAGACAUGAUUCAUUUGCUGUUUUGUUGUUUGCAAUACAGAGGCAUCAGGGAUUUGCUUGGUAUUGCAAUUUGGGAAGUCAAAAUGACCUUGGUGUGAAAAAAACAGUCUUGAACAUGUUGUUUAUUAUCAACAGCUGCUCUGUUAGUGAUGAAUGUAGAAAUGAAGAAAAUGUUGAAGCAUUGGUUUGAUUUCUGUGUACCAGAGUAAUGUUUGGAACUUAUCAGACAAACACAUGAAAUUGUGCUGAACUGUGGUUUCACAGAAUUUUUAAAAUUCCAUCUCAUUUUCAGUCUUUAAGCGUAUGCUUAAAUCCUAACUUCUUGUUUGCUGUCAGCAGUCACUCGCUGAUGUAUAUGAUUGUCCACCCAGGAAAUUCUGUCUCAAUGGUCAUAGAUUCUGAGUGUCCUUAUGCCAAUGGUAAGCCCAAUCCUACAGUGCAUCUCUGAUAAUACAAUUGUUAGUUAUUCCUGGGAGAUGGAGUUGGUCCUUGGUUUUGAGAUCGGCAAGGAAAAAUCCAACUACCUGCUAAUUUAAAACUUUCCCUGAAAUUUUCAUUUUUAUGUGCUUCAUUCCAAUUAUCAAGAUCAUUUGCAUUUUUUAACAUGACAUAUGACUUUCAAAUAUCAUGUUAUUGAAUGUAGAAGAUGAUCAGUUUCAUGUUUCUGUUCUGUUAUAC